AGCAAGGCCAGCUCAGUUGUAUUCGAUCAGUAGCAUCUUUGAGCCCAUUAUAAUAAUGCCUCUUGGCUAGAUAGUAUUUCAUUAUACCAACUUGCAUGCAUGAUUAAAAUAUCUGCAUCAUCAUGUUGCAUACAUAGCCAUAGCUUCUGAGAUCAUGCAAGUUACUUAUGCAUUGUAACAUCUCAUGCAUGAAACAUAUAUACUUAAAAUAAAUGCUUAGGAAACAUUAAUAACAUGACAUGAUCCCUAACAGGAUUAAAACAGGUUACUUACUUUCUUCACAAAUCAUGUAUACAAUUCAAAUUGUAUGAAAAAUCUGGUUCAUCUUAUAAAACGUAAUAUAAG
rnacentral:lncRNA from 1 species